GCCCUUAUAGCUCAGGGGUAGAGCGUUGCACUUGUACGUCUACCGUGCACACGAAAUGCAAAGGUCCGUCGUUCAAAUCGGCGUGGGGGCA